rnacentral:rRNA from 1 species
UGCCAGCCGCCGCGGUAAUACGUAGGGUGCGAGCGUUAUCCGGAAUCAUUGGGCGUAAAGAGCUCGUAGGCGGUUCAGCAAGUCGGCUGUGAAAUUCCGAGGCUCAACCUCGGAACUGCAGUCGAUACUGCUGUGACUCGAGUCCGGUAGAGGAGAAUGGAAUUCCCGGUGUAGCGGUGAAAUGCGCAGAUAUCGGGAGGAACACCAGUAGCGAAGGCGGUUCUCUGGGCCGGCACUGACGCUGAGGAGCGAAAGCGUGGGUAGCAAACAGGAUUAGAUA